AGACCCGAAACCCGGUGAUCUAGCCAUGGGCAGGUUGAAGGUUGGGUAACACUAACUGGAGGACCGAACCGACUAAUGUUGAAAAAUUAGCGGAUGACCUGUGGCUGGGGGUGAAAGGCCAAUCAAACCGGGAGAUAGCUGGUUCUCCCCGAAAGCUAUUUAGGUAGCGCCUCGUGAAUUCAUCUCCGGGGGUAGAGCACUGUUUCGGCUAGGGGGCCAUCCCGGCUUACCAACCCGAUGCAAACUGCGAAUACCGGAGAAUGUUAUCACGGGAGACACACGGCGGGUGCUAACGUCCGUCGUGAAGAGGGAAACAACCCAGACCGCCAGCUAAGGUCCCAAAGUCAUGGUUAAGUGGGAAACGAUGUGGGAAGGCCCAGACAGCCAGGAUGUUGGCUUAGAAGCAGCCAUCAUUUAAAGAAAGCGUAAUAGCUCACUGGUCGAGUCGGCCUGCGCGGAAGAUGUAACGGGGCUAAACCAUGCACCGAAGCUGCGGCAGCGACACUCAGGUGUUGUUGGGUAGGGGAGCGUUCUGUAAGCCUGCGAAGGUGGCCUGUGAGGGUUGCUGGAGGUAUCAGAAGUGCGAAUGCUGACAUAAGUAACGAUAAAGCGGGUGAAAAGCCCGCUCGCCGGAAGACCAAGGGUUCCUGUCCAACGUUAAUCGGGGCAGGGUGAGUCGACCCCUAAGGCGAGGCCGAAAGGCGUAGUCGAUGGGAAACGGGUUAAUAUUCCCGUACUUGGUGUUACUGCGAAGGGGGGACGGAGAAGGCUAUGUUGGCCGGGCGACGGUUGUCCCGGUUUAAGCGUGUAGGUGUGUGUUCCAGGUAAAUCCGGUUCACUUUAACACUGAGGCGUGACGACGAGGCACUACGGUGCUGAAGCAACAAAUGCCCUGCUUCCAGGAAAAGCCUCUAAGCAUCAGGUAACAUCAAAUCGUACCCCAAACCGACACAGGUGGUCAGGUAGAGAAUACCAAGGCGCUUGAGAGAACUCGGGUGAAGGAACUAGGCAAAAUGGUGCCGUAACUUCGGGAGAAGGCACGCUGACAUGUAGGUGAAGUGAUUUACUCAUGGAGCUGAAGUCAGUCGAAGAUACCAGCUGGCUGCAACUGUUUAUUAAAAACACAGCACUGUGCAAACACGAAAGUGGACGUAUACGGUGUGACGCCUGCCCGGUGCCGGAAGGUUAAUUGAUGGGGUCAGCGCAAGCGAAGCUCCUGAUCGAAGCCCCGGUAAACGGCGGCCGUAACUAUAACGGUCCUAAGGUAGCGAAAUUCCUUGUCGGGUAAGUUCCGACCUGCACGAAUGGCGUAAUGAUGGCCAGGCUGUCUCCACCCGAGACUCAGUGAAAUUGAACUCGCUGUGAAGAUGCAGUGUACCCGCGGCAAGACGGAAAGACCCCGUGAACCUUUACUAUAGCUUGACACUGAACAUUGAGCCUUGAUGUGUAGGAUAGGUGGGAGGCUUUGAAGUGUGGACGCCAGUCUGCAUGGAGCCGACCUUGAAAUACCACCCUUUAAUGUUUGAUGUUCUAACGUGGACCCGUGAUCCGGGUUGCGGACAGUGUCUGGUGGGUAGUUUGACUGGGGCGGUCUCCUCCUAAAGAGUAACGGAGGAGCACGAAGGUUGGCUAAUCCUGGUCGGACAUCAGGAGGUUAGUGCAAUGGCAUAAGCCAGCUUGACUGCGAGCGUGACGGCGCGAGCAGGUGCGAAAGCAGGUCAUAGUGAUCCGGUGGUUCUGAAUGGAAGGGCCAUCGCUCAACGGAUAAAAGGUACUCCGGGGAUAACAGGCUGAUACCGCCCAAGAGUUCAUAUCGACGGCGGUGUUUGGCACCUCGAUGUCGGCUCAUCACAUCCUGGGGCUGAAGUAGGUCCCAAGGGUAUGGCUGUUCGCCAUUUAAAGUGGUACGCGAGCUGGGUUUAGAACGUCGUGAGACAGUUCGGUCCCUAUCUGCCG
rnacentral:rRNA from 1 species